UACAAAGGGUGCAAGCGUUACUCGGAAUUACUGGGCGUAAAGGGUGCGUAGGUGGUUGUUUAAGUCUGCUGUGAAAUCCCCGGGCUCAACCUGGGAAUGGCAGUGGAUACUGGAUAGCUAGAGUGCGGUAGAGGGUAGUGGAAUUCCCGGUGUAGCAGUGAAAAUGCGUAGAGAUCGGGAGGAACACCAGUGGCGAAGGCGGCUACCUGGACCAGCACUGACACUGAAAGCACGAAAGCGUGGGGAGCAAACAGG
rnacentral:rRNA from 1 species